rnacentral:pre_miRNA from 1 species
GAAAAAUUACCGUGAUGAUGAUGAUGAUGAUGAUGAUGAUGAAAAUCAUCAUCAUCAUCAUCAUCAUCAUCAUCAUCAUCAUCAUCA